GACGUAGGGUGCAAGCGUUGUCCGGAUUUACUGGGCGUAAAGAGCGCGUAGGCGGUCUGUUAAGUGAGAAGUGAAAGCUCCGGGCUCAACUCGGAAAUGGCGUUUCAUACUGGCAGACUGGAGUGAUGCAGAGGUUUGUGGAAUUCCUGGUGUAGCGGUGAAAUGCGUUGAUAUCAGGAGGAACACCCAUGGCGAAGGCAGCAAACUGGGCAUCAACUGACGCUGAGGCGCGAAAGCGUGGGUAGCAAACAGG
rnacentral:rRNA from 1 species